GAUGAACGCUGGCGGCGUGCCUAACACAUGCAAGUCGAGCGAUUUACUUCGGUAAAGAGCGGCGGACGGGUGCGUAACGCGUGGGUAACCUGCCCUGUACACACGGAUAACAUACCGAAAGGUAUGCUAAUACGAGAUAAUAUGCUUUUAUCGCAUGGUAGAAGUAUCAAAGCUUUUGCGGUACAGGAUGGACCCGCGUCUGAUUAGCUAGUUGGUGAGGUAACGGCUCACCAAGGCGACGAUCAGUAGCCGACCUGAGAGGGUGAUCGGCCACAUUGGAACUGAGACACGGUCCAAACUCCUACGGGAGGCAGCAGUGGGGAAUAUUGCACAAUGGGCGAAAGCCUGAUGCAGCAACGCCGCGUGAGCGAUGAAGGCCUUCGGGUCGUAAAGCUCUGUCCUCAAGGAAGAUAAUGACGGUACUUGAGGAGGAAGCCCCGGCUAACUACGUG
rnacentral:rRNA from 1 species